GGGCCCGCACAAGCGGAGGAGCAUGUGGUUUAAUUCGAUGAUACGCGAGGAACCUUACCUAGACUUGAACGAAUAAGGAAUAGAGUAGAAAUAUUCUAGUCAGCAAUGACCUUUAUCGAGGUGCUGCAUGGUUGUCGUCAGCUCGUGCCGUGAGGUGUUAGGUUAAGUCCUGCAACGAGCGCAACCCUUACUGUUAGUUACCAGCAUGUAAUGACUGGGGACUCUAGCGGAACUGCCCGCGCAAGCGUGGAGGAAGGUGGGGAUGACGUCAAAUCAGCACGGCCCUUACGUCUAGGGCGACACACGUGCUACAAUGGCCGGUACAGAGGGCAGCUACACUGCGAAGUGAUGCGAAUCUCCAAAGCCGGUCUCAGUUCGGAUCGGAGUCUGCAACUCGACUCCGUGAAGUUGGAUUCGCUAGUAAUCGCGCAUCAGCCAUGGCG
rnacentral:rRNA from 1 species